rnacentral:rRNA from 1 species
GAUGAACGCUAGCGGGAGGCUUAACACAUGCAAGUCGAGGGGCAGCAUAGGGUAGCAAUACUCUGAUGGCGACCGGCAAACGGGUGAGUAACGCGUAUGCAACCUACCCUGUACAGGGGGAUAACCCGGAGAAAUUCGGACUAAUAUCCCGUAAUAAUAUCCGGAGGCAUCUUUGGAUAUUUAAAGUUCCGACGGUACGGGAUGGGCAUGCGUAACAUUAGCUGGUUGGUAAGGUAAUGGCUUACCAAGGCUAUGAUGUUUAGGGGUCCUGAGAGGGUGGUCCCCCACACUGGUACUGAGACACGGACCAGACUCCUACGGGAGGCAGCAGUGAGGAAUAUUGGUCAAUGGGCGCAAGCCUGAACUAGCCAUCCCGCGUGCAGGAAGACGGCCCUAUGGGUUGUAAACUGCUUUUCCAGGGAGAGAAACUUACGCACGUGUUGCGUGACUGACGGUACCCUGGGAAUAAGCAUCGGCUAACUCCGUG